rnacentral:ncRNA from 1 species
GAGUUCCUCCAAGCCAUUCUGCAACUCAGUGCCAAAGCGGGAUGAAAACCGUUCUGAGAGGCGUCGGCUUUCGGCAGUGGAAGCUGCCGGAACGUCCGCAUUGGGGAAAAGCGCCGGGGAUACCCUGCGUCAGUGCCCUGUGAAACCGGUGCGAACCGGCGACGGAAUGUUGAGAGACAGAAAAUGCAGUGCUGUGCCGGAGGAACGCGAACCAAGGCGCAGUUUCUGCCGCCGGCAAACAGACGCCCUCCCGGAAGGAGGGAAUAACCCGGAAUGCCGCAGGGUGGUGCCUGCAGGAGAGCGAUCGGGAUCAUGAGCGCCCGAUCCUUUACGGGAAGACCCUGCGCCGGUUUCCAGUGAAGCCCCGAAAGGGGUGUAUAAGACGGAACACUGGCCCAUGUAGCGGAAUGGAGAAAGUCUCAUCUUCCAGCUUGCGACAUCUGAUCAACCAUCGCUUAUUGCCGGAAGAUCCGUGAAUGGCAGAGGUAACCAGUCCUCUUUGGGAACAGCGGUGAAAACCGCAGGAUACGCGGACGGGAGUCGCUGCCCGUCAACCGGCCGUAUUCUCCCAGUGGCUGAACAGGUUCGAAGUUCCGGUCGGUACCGUGAAAGCGGGCAGGAUGGUUUGGAGGAAC